UACGUAGGGGGCAAGCGUUGUCCGGAUUUAUUGGGCGUAAAGAGCGUGUAGGCGGCCAGACAGGUCCGUUGUGAAAACUCGAGGCUCAACCUCGAGAUGUCGGUUGAAACCGUCUGGCUAGAGUCCGGAAGAGGAGAGUGGAAUUCCCGGUGUAGCGGUGAAAUGCGCAGAUAUCGGGAAGAACACCCGUGGCGAAGGCGGCUCUCUGGGACGGUACUGACGCUGAGACGCGAAAGCGUGGGGAGCGAACAGG
rnacentral:rRNA from 1 species